UACGGGGGGGGCAAGCGUUGUUCGGAAUUACUGGGCGUAAAGGGCUCGUAGGCGGCCAACUAAGUCGGACGUGAAAUCCCUCGGCUUAACCGGGGAACUGCGUCCGAUACUGGAUGGCUAGAGUUCGGGAGAGGGAUGCGGAAUUCCAGGUGUAGCGGUGAAAUGCGUAGAUAUCUGGAGGAACACCGGUGGCGAAGGCGGCAUCCUGGACCGACACUGACGCUGAGGCGCGAAAGCUAGGGGAGCAAACGGG
rnacentral:rRNA from 1 species